GUCUACAGCUAUACCACCCUGAACGCACCUGAUCUUGUCUGAUCUCAGAAGCUAAGUGGGGUUGGGCCUGGUUAGUACUUGGAUGGGAGACAAGGCCUUGCUCUGUUGCCC
rnacentral:rRNA from 1 species